UAACCAUUCGGGGGUCUGGCCUUGUCCGUAUAUUUAGUUUUGAGGUGAUCGUCUAGAGAUUGUUUGGAGGACACUACUUUGUAGUUCAAAAUUCGUUAUUUCAAGUACUGUGUGUCUGGGGAAAAGAAACUCUACGGACUUCAUUAGAAUUAUUUAUUCAACAUACUACACACAUAAUCUGCAGGUAGGCAACUCAUUUAACAGUCAAGUGGGUAGAGGACCCGUACUACGCAUAGGUAUCUCUACUAUCUAUCUCCGGCAUCAAACGGAUGUAAGCUGGGGUGUGAGAAUUUAAACAAAUUGAUUACGCGGACCCGCCCCGGGAAAUUUAAAAAGACGGUUGCAAGAGGGACUCCCAGAGGUUCCGACCACCGCGUGCUCUCCAUUCCCUAACCUUGGGUAUACAUCUCUCCCCAAGCCUCGAGUUGGGCCAUUGCACUCACUGGGACUGCCGAGGUCUUUUUCCCUAGUGUGAUGGUAAGUUCCAGAGGGAGACGGAAAGAUAGUGAUUAAACAAGCAAGUUGCCCGCGAUAAGUCCUGGAAAUCAACACGUGAUUUAAUGAAGCAAACCAGCUCACGUCGAGUUUGACACUCACAGUUGAUCGCGUUUCUAACUGCCUAAAAUAAAUGAUUUUCGGACCUACAUCUAA